AUUGAACGCUGGCGGCAGGCUUAACACAUGCAAGUCGAGCGGAGAUGAGGUGCUUGCACCUUAUCUUAGCGGCGGACGGGUGAGUAAUGCUUAGGAAUCUGCCUAUUAGUGGGGGACAACAUUCCGAAAGGAAUGCUAAUACCGCAUACGCCCUACGGGGGAAAGCAGGGGAUCUUCGGACCUUGCGCUAAUAGAUGAGCCUAAGUCGGAUUAGCUAGUUGGUGGGGUAAAGGCCUACCAAGGCGACGAUCUGUAGCGGGUCUGAGAGGAUGAUCCGCCACACUGGGACUGAGACACGGCCCAGACUCCUACGGGAGGCAGCAGUGGGGAAUAUUGGACAAUGGGCGGAAGCCUGAUCCAGCCAUGCCGCGUGUGUGAAGAAGGCCUUAUGGUUGUAAAGCACUUUAAGCGAGGAGGAGGCUACUGAGACUAAUACUCUUGGAUAGUGGACGUUACUCGCAGAAUAAGCACCGGCUAACUCUGUGCCAGCCGCCGCGGUAAGAC
rnacentral:rRNA from 1 species